rnacentral:tRNA from 1 species
GCCCUCGUAGCUCAGCGGAUUAGAGCGCUUGCUUGCGGAGUAAGAAGUCGGGAGUUCGAGUCUCUCCGAGGGCGCCA